rnacentral:lncRNA from 1 species
GGUAGGUAAAACAGAGUCUCGAGGCAAGGUAUAAAGAAAUAAGAAUGCUUCAAGCCAAUCUCUGACAAUUCCGGCUCCUAACCUAUUAUACCCAAUUUAAAUGAUUGGACUAUGUCGAAAUCAAAUGCAUGUUAACUUGAUGAGAUGUACUAAUAGAUGGAGAGGACUAAGAGCUAGUUUUGCCCAAAUGUGGUGCGGCCAAGGCUUGUAGAAAUUGAGGCCGGAGUCCACAAGAAACUAAUAUUUGGCGGGAAGGUUAGCAUCAAAAGAAUGGCAUUUUCUUUAUCUCU